ACCCUUUAAUGUUUGAUGUUCUAACGUGGACCCGUGAUCCGGGUUGCGGACAGUGUCUGGUGGGUAGUUUGACUGGGGCGGUCUCCUCCUAAAGAGUAACGGAGGAGCACGAAGGUUGGCUAAUCCUGGUCGGACAUCAGGAGGUUAGUGCAAUGGCAUAAGCCAGCUUGACUGCGAGCGUGACGGCGCGAGCAGGUGCGAAAGCAGGUCAUAGUGAUCCGGUGGUUCUGAAUGGAAGGGCCAUCGCUCAACGGAUAAAAGGUACUCCGGGGAUAACAGGCUGAUACCGCCCAAGAGUUCAUAUCGACGGCGGUGUUUGGCACCUCGAUGUCGGCUCAUCACAUCCUGGGGCUGAAGUAGGUCCCAAGGGUAUGGCUGUUCGCCAUUUAAAGUGGUACGCGAGCUGGGUUUAGAACGUCGUGAGACAGUUCGGUCCCUAUCUGCCGUGGGCGCUGGAGAACUGAGGGGGGCUGCUCCUAGUACGAGAGGACCGGAGUGGACGCAUCACUGGUGUUCGGGUUGUCAUGCCAAUGGCACUGCCCGGUAGCUAAAUGCGGAAGAGAUAAGUGCUGAAAGCAUCUAAGCACGAAACUUGCCCCGAGAUGAGUUCUCCCUGAGACUUUAGGUCUCCUGAAGGAACGUUGAAGACGACGACGUUGAUAGGCCGGGUGUGUAAGCGCAGCGAUGCGUUGAGCUAACCGGUACUAAUGAACCGUGAGGCUUAACCUUACAACGCCG
rnacentral:rRNA from 1 species